rfam:Burkholderia sp. RPE64 DNA, chromosome 1, complete genome.
AAAAAAAAUGGGCGCAACGCCCAUCUUCUUCAACCGAGGCCGCACUUAGGACAGAAAAAACUACGUGCCCAGCGACUUCAUGAUUUUAGCUAUUU